UUCUAUCUAAUUUUGGUAUUAUGACAUAUGCAACAGUUAUGACAUACACAACAGUUAUGACAUACACAACAAAUGAAUGAAAAAUUUUCAAAGCACCAGCAGACAAAUCACUAAACACUAAAAUUAUGCAACUUAUAAUUUCUUAUGACUCAGAAUGUCCAGAUCUUAUAACUCAGGAUAAUAUUUAAAUCAACUCAAUCAGCAACAUCCAGAUGUGUUAUUCAAGAAGGAAUAGUUCUCAGAAGAUGUAGACUGUGUGAGCAAUGGAUUGGAAGGUGGCAAGACAGAGCAUGUGAACAGAUCAGUUAAGAGGCUCCUGGAGCAACCUGGGGGAGGAAUAACAUUCAAUUGACUUCAUGGUAGCAGAAGACCAGAAAACCAGACAGACCCAAGAGGUUGGAAGAAAGAUCUGGUGACUAAGAGAUGACAGGUGCAUUUCCCCAAAUUAACCACUAAAUUCUCAAAGGCAGGGGCAAGCCUUUUGCUUUUCCAAUAUCUUCACCCCCGAGAGCCCAGUCCAAGGCACAGCCAUGGAGGCACCCAUCAAAUAUUGAGAGGCUGAGUGAGUUAAAGGGCUGAAGAAUAUGCUGGACCUGGUGUUUCUCUAGACUACACAGCUGCCCCACCUGGGGCAAGGGAAGAUUGAUGUCACUGUUGUCAUCUGGGAUGCUUUUGUUUGGUUUGUGCACAAUAUCAGGAUGGGGAACCAAAGGACUAUCUUUAAGCUUUAGUUGGCUCUCUAGUCUGUUUGUUUCAAAAGACAAUCUCAAGCAUGUGUCUUAGCCACUGGUAGCUGGGAAGAGACAUGACUGACUUUCCACACUGGCAGAUAGCAAUCGGAGAAAAGAUGAUCCAAUUUAGACGAAUUCAUGCCAACUGAGACUCAGAAACAGAGCCAGAAAUACACAGCAGCCAGUGAGCAAACAGUACCUUUUUCCCCAGCUUUACUGA